rnacentral:lncRNA from 1 species
CUCUUCCUCCUCCUCCCGCUCCUCGAUGCUCCGCCGCUCGCGGCUGGGGGGUCCGGGGCCGCGUCUCCUCUCCUCCCUCCGCCUCUCCUCUUUCCUCCUUCCUGCUGCCUCUUCUUUUAAAGCGGAUUCUUUGGCCACAAAUAGCAACUCGGCUGCCCCCCUCGGUGCCUCCCUCCCCUUCUCUUCUUCCCCCCAAAAGUGAAGCGCACGCGAGGUAAAGAAACGAAGACCCUGAGAAUUUAAAAUCAUCCAACUAUUUGGUGCCAGAAGCAGGACAAGAACUCAGACAUCAUGAUCCAGUGCCCUCCAUCCCACCAGCUAUUCAUCAUCACCUCCACAUUCUGGAUCAAAGAAGCCAGUUUUCCAACUUAUCAAUGAGCAAUACAUAUAGAAUAUUUUUAAAACUCCAAAUACUUUUAUGAAGGAAAAAUGAAGCAAUAGGACAAGACAUUUUCUUCGUUUCCUUCCAGCUCUAACAUUCUGUGAUAAAUAGCACACAGGAGCUUUGCUAUAGCACUACCCCCUCUAGUGCAUAAUUCAGCAUACGAUGAGUAUGAGUCUGUUUUGGACCCCAUCCAAAGGAGUUAGUUCCUAGAAGUACUUGGAAGAUUUAUUCUCAUUUAUCAUGAGGCAUCCUAACAGGAGACUAAAAAUAAUCACGAUGACAAUAAUAGUAAUCAGUUGUUACACUUGUAUUAUGUACUAAGCAUCGUGCUAAGCAUGUUAAAGUUCACCUGUUUUUGAAAAGGCACUUCAUGACCUUAUGUGGGUUGCGAAUCUAGUGGGUCAUAAACAAUUUCUGAAAUGAAAGAAAAGUAGGAAAAAACACAGAGUGCAUUAUACAUACUAAGUUGUUUUAUUUUUUAUUUUUUUAUUUUUUUUGCAAAACUUCCUUUUUGAUCAUGUGGCUAGUGAUUAAAAGUUUGGAAGCACUGCCUCGUUUCCAAUCUUAACUGCCUUGCUAGUUAAGUAUUAUUAGCCCCAUUAUAUAAGUGAGGAAACAGGACGAGAGAGGAUAAGUAAUUUGGCCAAGCUGACACAGUGAGUGGCCAAGCUAGAAUUUUGAACCUAGAUCUGUUUGACUUCAAAUCCAAUAUUUUCACUUCUAUAGUGAUGAUAAAUUAUUGACCAAGGUAUGGAAUAAAUUGUUGCUAAUCAU